rnacentral:rRNA from 1 species
UACAGAGGUCUCAAGCGUUGUUCGGAUUCAUUGGGCGUAAAGGGCGCGUAGGCGGCGCGGUAAGUCGGGUGUGAAAUCUUGGAGCUUAACUCCGAAACUGCAUUCGAUACUGCCGUGCUUGAGGACUGGAGAGGAGACUGGAAUUUCCGGUGUAGCGGUGAAAUGCGUAGAUAUCGUAAGGAAGACCAGUGGCGAAGGCGGGUCUCUGGACAGUUCCUGACGCUGAGGCACGAAGGCCAGGGGAGCAAACGGG